AAGUCGUAACAAGGUCUCCGUAGGUGAACCUGCGGAGGGAUCAUUAACACGUAUCCAACACGUCUCAAACCCAAACUGUGCUCCUUUAAAAAAAAACCCCCCUUUGAUGAAAAGGUGUAUUAGUAAGCCAUCAGAUGGAUUGAUUCUCUGUCCUUCUCCAUUCGGAGAGGCGCAGGGACACUGCUUACGAUACUAUGAUUCCUUAGAGAAUCAGCCGAUUUAUCUCUGGGUGUAAUAACUUUUCCAAGCCAUCUGGGUUAUUAGACCAACCCGGUUUCGAUCCGGAGUCUAAUAACCUUAUUAAACCUAUUUUUUAAACCCCUUUCAUAAUACUAAUACACUGACUUACUCCAAACUAUGGGUAAUCCCAGGUUUUUGGAUAUACGAAACGCGAACAACUCUUAGCAAUGGAUAUCUUGGUUCUC
rnacentral:misc_RNA from 1 species